rnacentral:rRNA from 1 species
CCUACGGGAGGCAGCAGUAGGGAAUCUUCCGCAAUGGACGCAAGUCUGACGGAGCAACGCCGCGUGAGCGAAGAAGGUCUUCGGAUCGUAAAGCUCUGUUGUAAGGGAAGAACAAGUACCAGAGUAACUGCUGGUACCUUGACGGUACCUUACCAGAAAGCCACGGCUAACUACGUGCCAGCAGCCGCGGUAAU